UACGUAGGGUGCGAGCGUUAAUCGGAAUUACUGGGCGAAAGCGUGCGCAGGCGGUUUUGUAAGCCAGAUGUGAAAUCCCCCGGGCUUAACCUGGGAAUGGCAUUUGGGACUGCAAGGCUUGAGUGCGGCAGAGGAGACUGGAAUUCCUGGUGUAGCAGUGAAAUGCGUAGAUAUCAGGAGGAAUACCGAUGGCGAAGGCAGGUCUCUGGG
rnacentral:rRNA from 1 species